rnacentral:rRNA from 1 species
AUUGAACGCUGGCGGCAGGCUUAACACAUGCAAGUCGAACGAGUGGCGGACGGGUGAGUAAUGUAUUGGAAACUGCCCGCUGGAGGGGGAUAACUACUGGAAACAGUCGCUAAUACCGCAUACCAUCGGAUGUGCCCAUAUGGGAUUAGCUUGUUGGUGGGGUAACGGCUCACAAAGGCAACGAUCCCUAGCUGGUCUGAGAGGAUGACCAGCCACACUGGAACUGAGACACGGCCCAGACUCCUACGGGAGGCAUCAGUUGGGAAGAGUGGACAAUGGGUGAAAACCUGAUGCAGCCAGCCAGCGUGUAUGAAGAAGGCCUGCGGGUUGUAAAGUACUUUCGGCAGAGAAGCGUUACCCGCAGAAUAAGCACCGGCUAAAUACGUGACAGCAGCCGCGGUAAUAC